UACGAAGGGUGCAAGCGCUACUCGGAAUUACUGGGCGUAAAGCGUGCGUAGGUGGUUUGUUAAGUCUGUUGUGAAAGCCCCGGGCUCAACCUGGGAAUGGCAAUGGAUACUGGCAAGCUAGAGUGCGGUAGAGGGUAGUGGAAUUCCCGGUGUAGCGGUGAAAUGCGUAGAGAUCGGGAGGAACACCAGUGGCGAAGGCGGCUACCUGGACCAGCACUGACACUGAGGCACGAAAGCGUGGGGAGCAAACAGG
rnacentral:rRNA from 1 species